rnacentral:rRNA from 1 species
UACGGAGGAUGCGAGCGUUAUCCGGAUUUAUUGGGUUUAAAGGGUGCGUAGGCGGGAUGCCAAGUCAGCGGUAAAAAUGCGGUGCUCAACGCCGUCGAGCCGUUGAAACUGGCGUUCUUGAGUGGGCGAGAAGUAUGCGGAAUGCGUGGUGUAGCGGUGAAAUGCAUAGAUAUCACGCAGAACUCUGAUUGCGAAGGCAGCAUACCGGCGCCCUACUGACGCUGAGGCACGAAAGCGUGGGUAUCGAACAGG